rnacentral:rRNA from 1 species
CCUACGGGUGGCAGCAGUGGGGGAUAUUGGACAAUGGGGGGAACCCUGAUCCAGCGACGCCGCGUGAGUGAAGAAGUAUUUCGGUAUGUAAAGCUCUGUCAGCAGGGAAGAAAGCAAUGACGGUACCUGACCAAGAAGCCCCGGCUAACGACGUGACAGCAGCCGCGGUAAUACGGAGGGGGCAAGCGUUAUGCGGAAUUACUGGGUGUAAAGGGAUCGUAGCCGGCCGUGCAAGUCUGGAGGGAAAGGCGGGGGGCCCACCACCGGACAGAUCUGGAAACUGUAUGGCUGGAGUGGGGGAGAGGUAAGCGGAAUGCGUGGUGUAGCGGUGAAAUGCAUAGAUAUUAGGCAGAACUCCGGUGGCGAAGGCAGCUUACUGGACUGUAACUGACGUUGAGGCUCGAAGGCGUGGGGAGCGAACAGGAUUAGAUACCACAGUAGUC